AGCGAACGCUGGCGGCAGGCCUAACACAUGCAAGUCGAACGAAGUCUUCGGACUUAGUGGCGGACGGGUGAGUAACACGUGGGAACGUGCCUUUAGGUUCGGAAUAACUCAGGGAAACUUGUGCUAAUACCGAAUGUGCCCUUCGGGGGAAAGAUUUAUCGCCUUUAGAGCGGCCCGCGUCUGAUUAGCUAGUUGGUGAGGUAAAGGCUCACCAAGGCUACGAUCAGUAGCUGGUCUGAGAGGAUGACCAGCCACAUUGGGACUGAGACCCGGCCCAAACUACUACGGGAGGCAGCAGUGGGGAAUCUUGCGCAAUGGGCGAAAGCCUGACGCAGCCAUGCCGCGUGGAUGAUGAAGGUCUUAGGAUUGUAAAAUCCUUUCACCGGUGAAGAUAAUGACUGUAGCCGGAGAAGAAGCCCCGGCUAACUUCGUGCCAGCCGCCGCUGUAACAC
rnacentral:rRNA from 1 species